CUCUUCUUGAUGCUUUCCCCUGCUCCCUCCCGGGAAAAUGGCCACUUUCAAUGGUGAGUAGUUAGCCCAACACAGGCUUUCCCAGGUGCCUCAGGGGCAAAGAAUCCGCCUGACAAGGCAAGGAAACACAGGAGAAGAGGGUGGAUCCCUGGGUCUGGAAAAUCCCCUGGAGGAGGAAAAGGCAAGCCACUCCAGUAUCCCUGUGCCUGGGAGAUCCCAUGGACAGAGGAGCCUGGUGGGUUACAAUCCAUGGGGCUGCAAAAGAGUCAGACACGACUGAGUGAGCACAGUAUACAGCUGGCACGUGAGGUUAAAGCCUGGUCCACCUGGAAGAAGUUUCCAGGUCUAGUUUCUCAAAGAAAGAGGAAGAAUAGUUCCAGAGAUGCCACGCGGCGCCCUCUGUUCAGGGCCAGAGCUCCUCGGUGCCCGCUCACCCCACCCCACCCCAGCUCUUGGCGUUUGUUACUUGCAAGCCUGCAAUAGGGCCACCGUCUUAACUGGUUGUUCAAAAGUCCCAAACCUUUCUUGACCGAUUAGUUUGGGGUAAAAAAUUUUUUGUAAAUGUUUGGCGACUCCUUCCUAUAUAAAAUACAAAUGAAACCCAAACCAAGGAAAUAGCACAUCAGACAGGCCUGCAGAACCUCCGGGCCAGUCCCGAACCCUCCAUGACGCUCCUGACCCUCCCCAGCUUCCUUCUAACCCUUUCCGCGCACUUGCCGGCCACGACAACUGCCGGCGUCUCCCGGGCACGGACCGGGAGGAGCCCCAAGGCCGGCCUGGGCUCCGCGGGGCGAUGCUGACCCCUGGCGGCCGCUCGCAGAGCCUCGCGUUUCUCCUGGGGCGACGAAGAGGGCAGAGGCCAGGGCUCAGCAAACUUCCUAUAAAUGGCCGCAGAGUAGAUGUUCUAGGCUUUCAGGACAUGGCGGGUAGAGGGUCGGUGACGACCACAACCGCUGCAGUAGUAAAGCCUGAAAGCACUGUGAUUGCGAGUGGGGUGGCUUUCCAGCGAAACUUUGUCGACCGUGAAAUUUGAAUUUUGUAUCAUUUUUGCGUGUCACAAUAUUACCCAUCUUUUCAUUUUCCCACCCACUUUUUAAAAAAUGUAAAAAUCAUUCUUAUCUCAAGA
ensembl:lncRNA